CGCCUGUUUUAUCAAAAACAUUUCUUUUAGGUAAUAAUUAAAAGUAGGACCUGCCCCCUGAUGUUUAAUUAAAGGGCCGCAGUAUCUUGACUGUGCAAAGGUAGCAUAAUCAUUAGUUUCUUCAUUAGAAACUGGAAUGAAGGGUUUAAUGAAAAGUAUCUUUAUUAAUAUAAUAAAUUGAAUUUAAUCUUAGAAUAAAAAAGUUCUAAUGGAGUUGUGGGACGAUAAGACCCUAUAAAGCUUUAUAUUAUAAAUUAAGAAGAAAAGAAUUAUUCUUAAUUAAAAUAUUUUACUGGGGUGGUAAAAAAACUUUUAUAUAAAAUGAGAAUUUUGAUCCAUAUAAUUAUGCAAUUAGAUAAAGUUACUUUAGGGAUAACAGCAUAAUUCUUUUUAAGAGAUCUUAUCAAUGAAAGAGAUUAUGACCUCGAUGUUGAAUUAAUAUUACUAUAAGAUGCAGAUGUCUUUAUUAAGGUAGUCUGUUCGACUAAUAAUAUAUUACAUGAUCUGAGUUAAAACCGGAGA
rnacentral:rRNA from 1 species